CCUUACCUGGCCUUGACAUACUAAGAACUUUCCAGAGAUGGAUUGGUGCCUUCGGGAACUUAGAUACAGGUGCUGCAUGGCUGUCGUCAGCUCGUGUCGUGAGAUGUUGGGUUAAGUCCCGCAACGAGCGCAACCCUUUUCCUUAUUUGCCAGCGGGUUAAGCCGGGAACUUUAAGGAUACUGCCAGUGACAAACUGGAGGAAGGCGGGGACGACGUCAAGUCAUCAUGGCCCUUACGGCCAGGGCUACACACGUGCUACAAUGGUCGGUACAAAGGGUUGCUACCUAGCGAGAGGAUGCUAAUCUCAAAAAGCCGAUCGUAGUCCGGAUCGCAGUCUGCAACUCGACUGCGUGAAGUCGGAAUCGCUAGUAAUCGCGGAUCAGAAUGCCGCGGUGAAUACGUUCCCGGGCCUUGUACACACCGCCCGUCACACCAUGGGAGUUUGUUGCACCAGAAGUAGGUAGUCUAACCGCAAGGAGGACGCUUACCACGGUGUGGCCGAUGACUGGGGUGAAGUCGUAACAAGGUAAGCGUAGAUGA
rnacentral:rRNA from 1 species